UACAGAGGUCCCAAGCGUUGUUCGGAUUCACUGGGCGUAAAGGGCGCGUAGGCGGUUCGUACAGUCAGACGUGAAAUUCCCGGGCUCAACCUGGGGGCUGCGUUUGAUACGUACGGGCUUGAGUUCGGAAGAGGGUCGUGGAAUUCCCAGUGUAGAGGUGAAAUUCGUAGAUAUUGGGAAGAACCCCGGUGGCGAAGGCGGCGACCUGGUCCGAUACUGACGCUGAGGCGCGAAAGCGUGGGGAGCAAACAGG
rnacentral:rRNA from 1 species